GGGCGCAUAGCUCAGUGGGAGAGCACCUGCCUUACAAGCAGGGGGUCGUAGGUUCAAAUCCUGCUGCGCCCA
rnacentral:tRNA from 1 species